UACGGAGGAUCCAAGCGUUAUCCGGAUUUAUUGGGUUUAAAGGGUGCGUAGGUGGCUUUUUAAGUCAGGGGUGAAAGACGGUAGCUUAACUAUCGCAGUGCCUUUGAUACUGAAGAGCUUGAAUGAACUAGAGGUAGGCGGAACGUGACAAGUAGCGGUGAAAUGCAUAGAUAUGUCACAGAACACCGAUUGCGAAGGCAGCUUACUAUGGUUUUAUUGACACUGAGGCACGAAAGCGUGGGGAGCAAACAGG
rnacentral:rRNA from 1 species